UCUCCGUUGGUGAACCAGCGGAGGGAUCAUUACUGGAAUCGCAAGAUCCCACAACCCUGUGAACCUACCGAAACGUUGCCUCGGCGGGUGCCUGGCCCCCGCACCGGGCGCUGCGCCCGCCGGCGGCCCCCUACUCUGUCUCUGCAGCGUGGCAUCUCAGAGUCCCAGAAAACAAGUCAAAACUUUCAACAACGGAUCUCUUGGCUCUA
rnacentral:misc_RNA from 1 species